CAGUGCACCGCCCGUCUAAUGGGUCGCCACGCACGGCAAACACGUGGGGUUUUUUGCUGUCCAUGAGAAGCAGGAAGCAAACAGAGCGGCGACAGCUUCUCAUGGUGAGCUCCCUCGCCUACCCUCGAGGGAAAGAAGAAUAAAGGAGACAGCAGAAGGCGCAGUGUAGAGUAAACAUAAAGGGAGUAAAGAUCCCUGGGAACCUCGGGAUUGGGACACCCGUACUCACCUAUAGUAGGUGAGCCCCUGAGGGGUAUUGAAUUUUAGGAGCAGUAUGCAAGGUCGAUAAAAAGGAUCAUUGUAAGUAUUUUUUAUAUCAAUUAUAUGUUUUACACUUUAAUCACCAAGUUUGAAUUAUAUCUUACUGUGUUGUUUGAGAUUUUUGUACGAAAAAACUCAUAGUAUAUGUGCCAAUAUAUUAUAUAAUAUUUAAUUUAUAUUGCCUUUUCAAUUUAAGAUUACAAUGAUUCCGACUCGGACAGCAGCUCCGAGGAUAGAGGAAGGAAAAAUUUUAAGGAUUUAAAUCCUUCUGUAAAGAAUAAAAUAUAUCAAGACGUAAUUUCCAUGUUAAGGUAUUACAUGAAAAACAAAAACGUGAAGGACUUAAUUAUAACAAGCAGACAUAUAGAGGUACUGGAGACUUACGAAGAUUUUCAAAGAAUAAAAAUAAAUGAUAAUAACAAGCAGAUAUACAGAGGCAUUGGAG